rnacentral:snoRNA from 1 species
CUCCUUCGGAUUCCUUGUCCUUCAGAUCUAAACAUGGGUCUGAGCGGCUGAAACAGAAGGAAAAGUAAAACUGAAGUGGACUUGGAGUCUUCAAUAACGUACAAGUUCAUUUCAAACACAG